rnacentral:rRNA from 1 species
ACAAUGAAGAGUUUGAUCCUGGCUCAGGAUGAACGCUAGCUACAGGCUUAACACAUGCAAGUCGAGGGGCAUCAGGAAGAAAGCUUGCUUUCUUUGCUGGCGACCGGCGCACGGGUGAGUAACACGUAUCCAACCUGCCCUUUACUCGGGGAUAGCCUUUCGAAAGAAAGAUUAAUACCCGAUAGCAUAAUGAUUCCGCAUGGUUUCAUUAUUAAAGGAUUCCGGUAAAGGAUGGGGAUGCGUUCCAUUAGGUUGUUGGUGAGGUAACGGCCCACCAAGCCUUCGAUGGAUAGGGGUUCUGAGAGGAAGGUCCCCCACAUUGGAACUGAGACACGGUCCAAACUCCUACGGGAGGCAGCAGUGAGGAAUAUUGGUCAAUGGGCGAUAGCCUGAACCAGCCAAGUAGCGUGAAGGAUGAAGGCUCUAUGGGUCGUAAACUUCUUUUAUAUAAGAAUAAAGUGCAGUAUGUAUACUGUUUUGUAUGUAUUAUAUGAAUAAGGAUCGGCUAACUCCGUGCCAGCAGCCGCGGUAAUACGGAGGAUCCGAGCGUUAUCCGGAUUUAUUGGGUUUAAAGGGAGCGUAGGUGGACUGGUAAGUCAGUUGUGAAAGUUUGCGGCUCAACCGUAAAAUUGCAGUUGAUACUGUCAGUCUUGAGUACAGUAGAGGUGGGCGGAAUUCGUGGUGUAGCGGUGAAAUGCUUAGAUAUCACGAAGAACUCCGAUUGCGAAGGCAGCUCACUGGACUGCAACUGACACUGAUGCUCGAAAGUGUGGGUAUCAAACAGGAUUAGAUACCCUGGUAGUCCACACAGUAAACGAUGAAUACUCGCUGUUUGCGAUAUACAGUAAGCGGCCAAGCGAAAGCAUUAAGUAUUCCACCUGGGGAGUACGCCGGCAACGGUGAAACUCAAAGGAAUUGACGGGGGCCCGCACAAGCGGAGGAACAUGUGGUUUAAUUCGAUGAUACGCGAGGAACCUUACCCGGGCUUAAAUUGCAGUGGAAUGAUGUGGAAACAUGUCAGUGAGCAAUCACCGCUGUGAAGGUGCUGCAUGGUUGUCGUCAGCUCGUGCCGUGAGGUGUCGGCUUAAGUGCCAUAACGAGCGCAACCCUUAUCUUCAGUUACUAACAGGUCAUGCUGAGGACUCUGGAGAGACUGCCGUCGUAAGAUGUGAGGAAGGUGGGGAUGACGUCAAAUCAGCACGGCCCUUACGUCCGGGGCUACACACGUGUUACAAUGGGGGGUACAGAAGGCAGCUAGCGGGUGACCGUAUGCUAAUCCCAAAAGCCUCUCUCAGUUCGGAUCGAAGUCUGCAACCCGACUUCGUGAAGCUGGAUUCGCUAGUAAUCGCGCAUCAGCCACGGCGCGGUGAAUACGUUCCCGGGCCUUGUACACACCGCCCGUCAAGCCAUGGGAGCCGGGGGGUACCUGAAGUACGUAACCGCAAGGAUCGUCCUAGGGUAAAACUGGUGACUGGGGCUAAGUCGUAACAAGGUAGCCGUACCGGAAGGUGCGGCUGGAACACCUCCUUU